rnacentral:sRNA from 2 species
UCUUAAUAAAUGCCGAAUUUCUUUUUUGCAAGAAAACGGGGGAACCAUUUCGGGUGAAUUAUUCUUGUUCCAGAGGGAGUAUAGGGAAAUUCCUACCACCGAACCCUUAGCUAACUCCGUAGGCAUCAGGGGGAAAAAUU